UACGUAGGGUGCAAGCGUUGUCCGGAAUUAUUGGGCGUAAAGAGCGUGUAGGCGGCUCGAUUAGUCCGCUGUGAAAGUUCAGGGCUCAACCCUGGAAUGCCGGUGGAUACUGUCGAGCUAGAGUCCGGAAGGGGCGAGUGGAAUUCCAGGUGUAGCGGUGAAAUGCGUAGAUAUCUGGAGGAACACCGGUGGCGAAGGCGGCAUCCUGGACCGAUACUGACACUGAGGAGCGAAAGCCAGGGGAGCAAACGGG
rnacentral:rRNA from 1 species